GACGAACGCUGGCGGCGUGCUUAACACAUGCAAGUCGAACGGAAAGGCCCUGCUUUUGUGGGGUGCUCGAGUGGCGAACGGGUGAGUAACACGUGAGUAACCUGCCCUUGACUUUGGGAUAACUUCAGGAAACUGGGGCUAAUACCGGAUAUGAGCUCCUGCUGCAUGGUGGGGGUUGGAAAGUUUCGGCGGUUGGGGCUGGACUCGCAGCUUAUCAGCUUCUUGGUGGGGUAGUUGCUUACCAAGGCUUUGACGGGUAGCCGGCAUGAGAGGGUGACCGGCCACAAUGGGACUGAGAUAGGGCCCAGACGGCUACGGGAGGCAGCAGUGGGGAAUAUGGCACAAUGGGCGGAAGCCUGAUGCAGAAACGCCGCGUGCGGGAUGACGGGCUUCGGGUGGUGAACCGAUUUCGCAGGUGACGAAGCGUGAGUGACGGUAAUGGGUAAAGAAGCACCGGCUAACUACGUG
rnacentral:rRNA from 1 species